UACGUAGGGUGCAAGCGUUAAUCGGAAUUACUGGGCGUAAAGCGUGCGCAGGCGGCUUUGCAAGACAGAUGUGAAAUCCCCGGGCUUAACCUGGGAACUGCAUUUGUGACUGCAUCGCUGGAGUGCGGCAGAGGGGGAUGGAAUUCCGCGUGUAGCAGUGAAAUGCGUAGAUAUGCGGAGGAACACCGAUGGCGAAGGCAAUCCCCUGGGCCUGUACUGACGCUCAUGCACGAAAGCGUGGGGAGCAAACAGG
rnacentral:rRNA from 1 species